AAAAACAGCUUUGAUUAUACGGACCUUUGCCAGCAAAGUGAUGUCUCUUCUUUUUAAUAUGCUGUCUAGGUUGGUCAUAGCUUUUCUUCCAAGGAGCAAGCGUCUUUUAAUUUCAUGGUUGCAAUCACCAUCUGCAGUGAUUUUGGAGCCC